CCAGACCGAAAAAAUAAAAAAUAAAAAAUAUAAAAAGAUUUCAAAAAAAAAAAAGAAAAGAAAAAAAAAACCAUAUUUGGACUAGGGAACAGUAGUGCAUUCCAAAUCCAAUACUUUCUUUUUUUUUUUGUAAUACUUCCAUUUUUUUUCUCUCUUGGUUGAUCUCUCUUAUGUCCCAUUACCACAUUUAUAACUUACAUGCAUCAAAAGAGAGAAGAGUAAUCCUAGCCAUAGGAAGUAAAUUAGAGUAAAACCCAAUCAAUCUCUAGAAUUCAAUUCUCUUUUUUUA
rnacentral:ribozyme from 15 species